rnacentral:rRNA from 1 species
AGCGAACGCUGGCGGCAGGCCUAACACAUGCAAGUCGAACGAACCCUUCGGGGUUAGUGGCGGACGGGUGAGUAACACGUGGGAACGUGCCUUUAGGUUCGGAAUAACUCAGGGAAACUUGUGCUAAUACCGAAUGUGCCCUUCGGGGGAAAGAUUUAUCGCCUUUAGAGCGGCCCGCGUCUGAUUAGCUAGUUGGUGAGGUAAUGGCUCACCAAGGCUACGAUCAGUAGCUGGUCUGAGAGGAUGACCAGCCACAUUGGGACUGAGACACGGCCCAAACUCCUACGGGAGGCAGCAGUGGGGAAUCUUGCGCAAUGGGCGAAAGCCUGACGCAGCCAUGCCGCGUGGAUGAUGAAGGUCUUAGGAUUGUAAAAUCCUUUCACCGGUGAAGAUAAUGACGGUACCCGGAGAAGAAGCCCCGGCUAACUUCGUGCCAGCCGCCGCGGUAAGAC